GCUGUCUGCUCUCAGGAUCCAGGCAGAUCUGGACAGGUAUGGCUCAGGCUGGUAGCUGGGGCCCUCUAGGAAUCCGCUGACAGCUCAGCAGAGGAGCCAGACCGCCAGACAGGAGAGAAGUUGGGAGAAGGCCACAGUGUCUGCAGCCCCAAGGAAAAGGAGCCGAAUUGAAGGGCCUGUGUCAGGGGCCAGAGGCAGGUUUGCCUAGCUAGCUGCUUCCUGUGACCAGGACCUCAGCUAUGAGGGUGCAGUUCCCUUUGCUUCACUCCGCCACUCCCCCAAUGCUGCCCUGCUGCCCACCUACCCCCGCCCCCCCCCACCCCAGUGCCAUGGUCAGGCCACACGGCUACUU
rnacentral:lncRNA from 1 species